AACGAACGCUGGCGGCAUGCCUAACACAUGCAAGUCGAACGAUCCCUUCGGGGAUAGUGGCGCACGGGUGCGUAACGCGUGGGAACCUGCCCUUAGGUUCGGAAUAACUCAGAGAAAUUUGAGCUAAUACCGGAUAAUGUCUUCGGACCAAAGAUUUAUCGCCUUUGGAUGGGCCCGCGUUGAAUUAGCUGGUUGGUGGGGUAAAGGCCUACCAAGGCGACGAUCCAUAGCUGGUCUGAGAGGAUGAUCAGCCACACUGGGACUGAGACACGGCCCAGACUCCUACGGGAGGCAGCAGUGGGGAAUAUUGGACAAUGGGCGAAAGCCUGAUCCAGCAAUGCCGCGUGAGUGAUGAAGGCCUUAGGGUUGUAAAGCUCUUUUACCCGGGAUGAUAAUGACAGUACCGGGAGAAUAAGCCCCGGCUAACUCCGUG
rnacentral:rRNA from 1 species